rnacentral:tRNA from 1 species
GGAGGGUUGGCAGAACGGCUAUUGCGCAGGUCUUGAAAACCUGUGAGCGUAAGCUCUUAGAGGUUCGAGUCCUCUACCCUCCGCAA